UACGUAGGGGGCGAGCGUUGUCCGAAGUUACUGGGCGUAAAGCGCGCGUAGGCGGUCUAUUAAGUCUGAGGUGAAAGGUUCAACGCUCAACGUGAACAGUGCCUUGGAUACUGGUAGACUUGAGUGUGGCAGAGGAGUAUGGAAUUCCUGGUGUAGCGGUGAAAUGCGUAGAUAUCAGGAGGAAUACCGAUGGCGAAGGCAGUACUCUGGGCUAACACUGACGCUGAGGUGCGAAAGCGUGGGGAGCAAACGGG
rnacentral:rRNA from 2 species